UAUGAAAGUGCUGUUUGCUGCUAAACAGCUGUAAACAGCCUGUUCCAGCAGUUUCUAUCAAUUGUAAAUGGUUUUUUUGGAAACUAGGGGCUGCCCAUUGUUUAUAAAACCAUGGGUAAUAUGUGUAGGGUUCAAAUUCAAUCACGGUUUACGAGGAACGAUCCUAACGGUCCUCAAAAACCUAUAAAUACCCAUUCCCCACUUCACUUCUUUUGCACCUUUCCUUCUAAUCUGCUUAUUCUCUGAAUUGGAGAGGAUCUUGAACCUUUUUGAGAACCUCCCUCAGUCCUUUGGACUCUUGUAAGUAAUCCCUUCAUGCUUAAUUAAGAGCCCCAGUAGAAGUACUUGUGCUUGCUGAUUUGAUAUACGGCUGGGAUUGAAUUUAUAUUUAGCUCAGGUAAAUACUUUUAACUUAUU
rnacentral:lncRNA from 1 species